GUGAACCUGCGGAAGGAUCAUUAC
rnacentral:ncRNA from 6 species